GAAAUUUACAUGACAGCUUACUGGCAUAGUACAAAUUCACGUUUAUUAAAAUCAUGGCCCCUGGGGGUUGGAUGGGGCCACAAUAGGGGAUCAAAGUUUUUACAUACAAAUAUAUAAGGAAAAUGUUUAAAAAUCUUUUUCUCAAGAACCACUGAGCCAGAAAAGCUGAUAUUGACAUGAAAGCUUCCUGACAUAUUUCAGAUUUCAGUUUGUGAAAAUUAUGGCUCCCAGGGGUAGGAUGGGGUCACAUGGGGGAUCAAAGUUUUGCAUACAAAUAUAUAGGAAAAAUCUUUAAAUACAUAUGUAUGAGCCAAAGUGACUCAGGUGAGCGAUGUGGUCCUUGGGCCUCUUGUUUGUAUGUGGCUGUGGUAGACAAUUUUUAGUUCAUCCUAGCUCCUAAUUAUUCAAAUCCAUUGGCCAGGGGUUGUGGGGAAAACAUGAUUUACAUCUACAUCCUUACUUCUGAAAACAAUGUCCACUUCAAAACCAUGUAUUAACAAGACAACAGUAUUUUUCCAGUGAGGAAGAAGACCAUGAAAGACACCACCAGUUUAUAAAACAAGAGGCCCAUGGGCCACAUCGCUCACCUGUGUCACCUUGGUCCACAUCAGAUUUUCCAUAUCUAUUUGCAUGUAAAACCGUAGUCCCUAUUAUGGCCCCAAACCUACCCCUGGAGGCCAUGGUUUUUGCAAACUUGAAUCUACACUAUGUCAGAAAGCUUUCAUGUAAAUGUGAACUUCUUUGGUCCAAUGGUUCUUGAGAAGAAGAUUUUUAAAGAUUUUCCCUAUAUAUUUGUAUGUAAAACUUUGAUCCCCUAUUGUGGCCCCAUCCGACCCCCGGGGGCCAUGAUUUUAACAAUUUAGAAUCUGCACUACCUAAUAAAGCUUAUCUAUAAAUUUCAUCUUUUCUGGCCCAGUGGUUCUUGAGAAGAAGAUUUUUUAAUGACCCUACCCUAUUUUUACCUUUUCUUGAUUAUCUCCCCUUGGAAGGUGGCAUGGCCCUUUAUUUUAACAAUUUAGAAUUCCCUUUACCUAAGGAUGCUUUGUGCCAACUUUGGUUGAAAUUGGCCCAGUGGUUGUUGAGAAGAAGUUGAAAAUGUGAAAAGUUUACAGACGGACGGACAGACAGACGGAUGGACAGACGGACGGACGGACGCCGGAAUACGGGUGAUCAGAAAAGCUCACUUGAGCUUUCAGCUCAGGUGAGCUAAAAAUCCGUUCAAUAAAUAUAUUAAACUUUACUGCUUUGGGGAAAGUAUAUUGAUAUAUUGGUAAGAAAGUAAUUUUCUAAAGAAUCAGCAGCUCACAUUUUGAUUACUUUGAUAUGAUAGGAAUUAGUCAAUAUAUAUUUUGGGUAUGGAUCCAAAAUACACAUCUUUAUGAAGUUGAAUGAACAUGUUUGCUCAAUUUUUACACAAGUAGUGCAUCACAUAACAUAUUAAAGCUUUCUAAUCCGACUCUUUUAUUUUUAGGAACUGGAACACGUUCUAAAUAUACUCAGGGACAGAAUGAUGUGCAGCAAGGCUCGUCAUGGAUUUUACCAAAUACAGAACACUGCAAGGCUUGCAAAAUGAAGACCUCAGUAAAAAAAUUUCUAAAUUAUCCACUAAUGGCAGCUCACUACCUGCCCCUUGUGAUGUUAAAAGAGGCCGUUGUUCUCAUUUGUUCCAAAACAGGAAUGGCAUAUGAGGAGGCCAACAGAAGAUGCACCUCCACUGACCUCCACUGAGUGUGCACUCACAAAACGAAUAAAUUAUUAUUAUUUCUUUUGUUUGUAAUUGUAUAUUGUCAACAAGGUCAAAGGCACUUGAUCCGAUGCCAAACUUUUGCAUUUCUUUUGCUUUGUGGUAAAUUUUCUUCAGCAACAUUAACAUUGUUUAAAUUGUUUUCUUUGGAGAGUUUACAUGUACACAUGGAUCAUUUGUAUAUUAGAAUUAUAGCAUUGUUUAAUUCAACUCAUUCUUAUCAUAGAGAGGUUAUUAUAUACUGCAGGCAACGACUUGUAAAGGGUAUACUGUUUUAACUCACAUGCAAGGCAGUAUUAUGAAACUCUGUAGUUGAUAAGGACAUAUAUCACAUAUCGAUAUGCAUAUUUACAGGAAACUCUGAUGUAUUUUAAAUCUGAACGUUAAUUUAAAAGUGGGGAGAAAUAGCAUUGGAUGAAAAAAGACACAUAUGAAGAAAAUUAUUCCAUACGUAAAUACUUUUUAGCUCACCUGAGUUGAAAGCUCAAGUGAGCUUUUCUGAUCGCCUGUUGUUCAUUGUCUGUCCGUGCAUGAUUAAACAUUUUAUAUUUUCUCCAGAAGCACUGGGCCAAUAAUAACCAAAAGUAUCCUUGGGUAAAGGGCUUUCGAGUUUGUUCAAAUGAAGGGCCAUGCCCUCUUCAAAGGGGAGAUGACCACAAAAAUAGGGUGGGUCAUUUAAUUUUUUUAUCAAGAACCAUUGGGCCAGAAGAGCUGAAAUGUACAUGAAAGCUUCCUGACAUAGUACAGAUUCAAGUUUAUUGAAAUCAUGGCCUCCUGGGGUUGUAUGGGGCCACAAUAGAGAAUCAAAGUUUUACAUACAAUUAUUCAGGAAAACUCUUUCAAUAUGAGCCAAGGUGGCUCAGGUGAGCGAUGUGGCCCAUGGGCCUCUUGUUCAACAUAUAGAAUAAAUAGUUAUGUUGUAUUUCCCAUGGAACAUUGAAACGUUUAAUGCGUUUACCAAUUAAUCACUGAAAGAAAGAUAAAAUUGUUGUUUCAUAUGUUUUAUGAAAACUUAAAGAUGUUUCAUUUCUUUUCAUGAAAGACCCCUUAAUUACCCAGUAAUAUAUAAUCAAUUCUUAACAGAUUAUGUAAAUUUGAUUUAUAUUAAGGAUGUUUGAUCUGAUUACCCAUCAUUAUCAAUCUGUCUAAUAUGGCCAUCAUGUGUUACUAUUGCUACGCAAUCUUGGAGCAUGAGGUAGAAUGCGAGCCAGCUCUUUCAUAAGUACAUGUAUCUGGAAAAUAUUUCAAUGUCAAAGGUUACAACAAUGUGAUAAUUUAAUCAUUGUAUGUCUAAGGUGUUGAUAAUAAAACUGUUAUCUGUUCAA